GGUUAAUUUUGAUUAAAAUAUUACUUUAUUUUUUUAGUUAAAGGGCACUUUAUGAACAUCUUGGUAAAAAAGUAAGGACGUCGCGCGACGAGACUUUGUUUAGGGAGGCACAGGCCUGUGAUCUUCAAAUUUCCUGAUAAGAAAACUUUGUUUUUUAAAUAUAAAAUAAUGUGAAUUGAAUCAUCUUAGUAACAUUAGAAUAAGAAUCAAACGAGAUACCGUAAGUAAUGGCGAAUGAACAUGGUUAAGACUAAAAUAUAAUGUAAAACUUUGAAUUUUAAAACUCAAGAAGGUGUAAGUCCUGUAGAAGUGAUAUAUAUAUAUAUUAUAUUUUGUAUGAAGUAGUAUGUUUUUGUAUGAAUAUAGAAGAACCACCUUCUAAGUCGAAAUAACUUUUUUAACCGAUAGUGAACGAGUACCGUGAGGGAAAGAUGGAAACUUCCGUUAGGAUAAAAACUAAUUAGUUAAAAAAAAUUAAGUGUCUAAAAUACUUUUGAAAUUUUUAGUUUUCUAAGAAUAACAAAUUGCCUUUUGCAUAAUGAGUCAGUAAGUUAAUAUGGUAUAGCGAGCUUAAGUAAGAUUAUGUAGGCGUUUUUAGUUAUACUUAUUAAACCUGAAGCCAAGUGAUCUAACUAUGAACAGGUUGAAAAUUCAGUAAUGUGCUUUUGAAGACCGAACCCGUAUAUGUUGCAAAAUAUUGGGAUGAUUUGUGGUUAGGGGUGAAAGGCCAAUCAAACUUGGCAAUAGCCGGUUUUUCACGAAACGUAUUUAAGUACUACGUUAAUAAAAUAAAUUGUAGGUAUAGUAACAAACUAAAUGAGGGGUGUAAAAAACUACUAAGUUUAAUUUAACUUCGAAUUAUAAUUUAAUUAUAUUAAUAGACAGUCUUUAAGCGAUAAGGUUUAAAGACAAAAGGGAAACAACCCGCAUCAUUUGUUAAGGUCUUAAAAUUUCAACUUAGUGGAGAAGAUUUUUUACAAAAUAAAUAGUUUGAAUAGGAUAGGCUUAGAAGCAGCUUUUCAUUGGAGAUAGCGUUUUAGCUCGUUAUUGUUUUGUAUGAAUUUAAAAUAAAGGAGGCUCAAAGUUGUAUACCGAAACAAUGAAUCAACAUAAUGUGAUGGUAGUGAAACGUUCUGUACAAAAUUAUUUUUUUUAAGGAAAUUUAAAGGAAAAUUCUAUCAGAAGUGCUAAUGCUGACAUGAGUAGCGUAAACUACGUAAUAAAAUCGUAGUCACCCAAUGCCCAAGGGUUUCAAUAUAAUUUUAAGUAUAUUGAGUUAGCCGAUCCUUAAGAGGAGAGUAAAUACUGAACUUGAUAGGUGAUUUGCCAACUAUAUAUAUAUUAUUUAAUAUGUAAAGGUUAAUAUAAUAAUAAAAAAUUUAUUAGGUUUGAUUUUUUAUAAAUAAUAUUAAUUUCAAGAAAGAUCUGUAGUUUUUAUUUGAUCGUACUUAAUCCGACACAGGUGGGCUUGUUGAAAAUACUAAGGUGAAUGGAUGAAUUGAAUUGAAGGAACUUGGCAAAUUUGCUCUGUAAGUUCGCGAGAAAGAGUAUCCAAAUUCGGUUGGAUGUCACAAAAUAAAAAGCAACGACUGGUUAUCAAAACCACAAGACUCUGCUAAUUAGUAUAUAAGACGUAUAGAGUUUGACACCUGCCCAGUGCUUAAAGUUAUCAUUUAUGAGUUUACGCUUGUAUUUUAAUCCUAAGUAAACGGCGGUUCUAACUAUAAGAAUCCUUAGGUAGCGAAAUUCCUUGACGGGUAAGUUCCGUCCUGCAUGAAUGGUGUCACGAUUGCUUUACUGUCUCCAAUUUAAGUCCAGCGAAAUUACAUAACCUAUGAAAAUGUAGGUAACCUGCAGUAAGACGGAAAGACCCUAGAUCCUUUACUUUAGUCUUACAUUGAAAAAUUUACUUUUUUAUGUAGAAUAAGUGGAAGUAACUUUUACAUAAAUGAAAUACCACUUAAAAACAGUAAUUUUUUCUAACUUGUUUAAUUAUUAAAUAAGGACAGUAUGAGAUGGGAAGUUUACUUGGGACGAGUACCUCCUAAAAUGUAACGGAGGUGUACAAAAGAUAAGUUAAAACUAAUAGGUUGGAUGUGCAAUGGCAGUAAGCUUGUUUGACAGUAAGAUUGAUAAAUCGCACUGAGACGUAAGUCGGUCAUAGUGAUCCGGUAGAAAUAGGUGGAAAUACUACCGCUCAACAAAUAAAAGGAACUCUAGGGAUAACAGAUUCAUCAUGGUUGAGAGUUCUUAUUGAUGCCAUGGUUUGAUACCUCGAUGUCGACUCAUCUUAUCCUGGAUUUGAAGCAGAUUCCAAGGGUCUAGUUGUUCGCUAGUGAAGAAGGUACGUGAGUUGGGUUCAGAACGUCGUGAGACAGUUCGGUCCCUAUCUGCUGUAGGUGUUGAAAAGAAUAGAAAUUAUUUCUAGUACGAGAGGACCGAAAUAUGUUAACCAAUAGUGUAUUGAUUGUUAAAAAACCAGUAGCAGGUCAAGUAGCCACGUUAAUAAUGUUUAUGCAUUGAAAGAAUCAAUAAAUGCGAAAACAUUUCUACACUUUUCAUGAAUAAUCUAGAAGACUACUAGAUAGAUCGGUUUAAUAUAACUAUUUAGUAAUAAAAUUUUUGUAUUUAAAUACGAAUUUAUUCAUUGAAAAAACAAAGUAAU
rnacentral:rRNA from 1 species